rnacentral:rRNA from 1 species
GUCAAGUAAGAAUACCCGCUGAACUUAAGCAUAUCAAUAAGCGGAGGAAAAGAAACUAACUAGGAUUCCCUUAGUAACGGCGAGUGAACUGGGAAGAGCUCAAAUUUUAAAUCACCUUUUGGUGAAUUGUAAUUUGAAGAAAGUGUUUUGACUUUUCAGUUUAAUCUAAAUCCUUUGGGAUGAGGUAUCAUAGAGGGUGAGAAUCCCGUUCCUGAUUAGACCUCGAAUUGCAUUAAUUCACUUUCCAAGAGUCGAGUUGUUUGGGAUUGCAGCUCAAAAUGGGUGGUAAAUUUCACCUAAGGCUAAAUAUAUGCAAGAGACCGAUAGCGAACAAGUACCGUGAGGGAAAGAUGAAAAGAACUUUGAAAAGAGAGUUAAACAGUACGUGAAAUUGUUGAAAGGGAAACGAUUGAAGUCAGUCAUGCUAGUGAGAAAUCAGCAAGGUGGUUUACUUCCUUGUGUACUUUCUUUCAGCAGGUUAGCAUCAAUUUUGGUUGUCAUCAAAUAAUUGGGGGAAUGUGGCUUCUCUUCGGUGAAGUGUUUAUAGACCCUGGUAGAUGUGGCGACUGGGAUUGAGGAUUGCAGCGGAUGCCUUUGGCUAGUCACCUAUCUUCUGACUGUUACCUCGCUUUUGACAGCUUGCUGAUGAUCGUGGGAUUUGAUGGUUUAGAAGGUUAGAGUGUAUAUAAAUUCGCUAAGGAUGCUGACGUAAUGGCUUUAAACGACCCGUCUUGAAACACGGACCAAGGAGUCUAACAUGUGUGCGAGUGUU